rnacentral:rRNA from 1 species
UCGGGAAUUUUGGGCAAUGGGCGAAAGCCUGACCCAGCAACGCCGCGUGAAGGAUGAAGUAUUUCGGUAUGUAAACUUCGAAAGAAUAGGAAGAAUAAAUGACGGUACUAUUUAUAAGCUCCGGCUAACUACGUGCCAGCAGCCGCGGUAAUACGUAGGGAGCAAGCGUUGUUCGGAUUUACUGGGCGUAAAGGGCGCGUAGGCGGCGCGGUAAGUCACUUGUGAAAUCUCUGAGCUUAACUCAGAACGGCCAAGUGAUACUGCAGUGCUAGAGUGCAGAAGGGGCAAUCGGAAUUCUUGGUGUAGCGGUGAAAUGCGUAGAUAUCAAGAGGAACACCUGAGGUGAAGACGGGUUGCUGGGCUGACACUGACGCUGAGGCGCGAAAGCUAGGGGAGCAAACGGGAUUAGAUACCCGAGUAGUCCCUGAGCGGGCUGGCAAGGCGCAU